GAUGAACGCUGGCGGCGUGCCUAAUACAUGCAAGUCGAGCGAACCGACGAGGAGCUUGCUCCUCUGACGUUAGCGGCGGACGGGUGAGUAACACGUGGAUAACCUACCUAUAAGACUGGGAUAACUUCGGGAAACCGGAGCUAAUACCGGAUAAUAUAUUGAACCGCAUGGUUCAAUAGUGAAAGACGGUUUUGCUGUCACUUAUAGAUGGAUCCGCGCGGCAUUAGCUAGUUGGUAAGGUAACGGCUUACCAAGGCAACGAUGCCUAGCCGACCUGAGAGGUGGUUCGGCACCACUGAAACUGGAACACGUUCCAGACCCCUACGGGAGGCAGCAGUGGGGAACCUUCCGAAAGGGGGGAAGCCCGGAGGGGGCACCGCGGGGUGAGUGAUGAGGGUCUCCGGAUCGUAAACCUCGUUUAUUGGGAAAGAACAAAGGGGUAAGUAACGAGGAACGUCUGGAGGGUACUUAUUCAGAAGGCCACGCCAAAUUACGU
rnacentral:rRNA from 1 species